rnacentral:rRNA from 1 species
GCAACGCGAAGAACCUUACCAGGCCUUGACAUGCAGAGGACUUUCCAGAGAUGGAUUGGUGCCUUCGGGAACUCUGACACAGGUGCUGCAUGGCUGUCGUCAGCUCGUGUCGUGAGAUGUUGGGUUAAGUCCCGUAACGAGCGCAACCCUUGUCCUUAGUUACCAGCACGUUAUGGUGGGCACUCUAAGGAGACUGCCGGUGACAAACCGGAGGAAGGUGGGGAUGACGUCAAGUCAUCGUGGCCCUUACGGCCUGGGCUACACACGUGCUACAAUGGUCGGUACAAAGGGUUGCCAAGCCGCGAGGUGGAGCUAAUCCCAUAAAACCAAUCGUAGUCCGGAUCGCAGUCUGCAACUCGACUGCGUGAAGUCGGAAUCGCUAGUAAUCGUGAAUCAGAAUGUCACGGUGAAUACGUUCCCGGGCCUU